rnacentral:rRNA from 1 species
GUGCAGCGUUAUCGGGUUUUAUUGGGUUUAAGGGUGCGUAGGCGGCUUAUUAAGUCAGUUGUGAAAUCCUAGUGCUUAACGCUAGAACUGCGAUUGAUACUAUUAGGCUUGAGUUAAGAAGAGGUAAGCAGAAUUUAUGGUGUAGUAGUGAAAUGCUUAGAUAUCAUAAGGAAUACCAAUAGCGUAGGCAGCUUACUGGUCUUUAACUGACGCUGAGGCACGAAAGCGUGGGGAGCAAACAGGAUUAGAUACCCUGGUAGUCCACGCCGUAAACGAUGAUCACUCGAUAUACAUGAUACAUCAUGUGUGUCUAAGCGAGAGCGUAG